ensembl:lncRNA
AUCUGAUUAUUAAAAAAGACAGCAAAAACCCCUUUGCAAAGUAGAGACAAUCUGCAGUAUUUUUUGCUGGUCAUAUUCCAUUUUAUUGUGUAACUUUAUGGACGCUGGAUCACGUGGUGAUGUGGUGGUUCACUUCAACACUGUAGCUUCGAGCUUUCUGGUUUUCACUGCUGAAUCAGUUGUUAUCUUGGAUAAAUCAUUCAAAACUAUUAAACACCUGUCAGCUUUUCUUUGAAGUCGCUUUUUUAGUUUUUCCUAAAAUGUGUAUUUAUUCAGGGAGCGCCGUGGAUGAAAGUCGGUGGCCCAAAUAACGUCCACACACCGUGACCUCCCAUCGGGAACUGGGCACCACUAACUGUCAUUGGUGACUCAGUACCCGCGUUAAUGCCACACCGCUAGUUACUGCUCAUCCCGGCGGAUUUGACAUUUACACGUUUUUCCGCUGUUAAACAACAGGACUGUCAGUAAACAUUUCUCAGACCAUUCAGGCCCUUUUCCGCGAAUACCUUCGUCGUGGGCUCAGCCGGCGGACGCUCGUAUUUUAUUUCAGCAUAUGCCAACGUUUGGAUGAAAGUCAAACAAGUAUAAUCUGCGCCCCUUGACUUCCUAAAUACGAGUGCUUCUAAUCUUCAUUAGCAACACUUGCCAGUAAGCACGACCUUCGCAGCAGUGUGUUAACGCACGUGUGUGUGUGUGUAGCUGGCGUUUUCCUACAAGUUUCCACGCUUAAUCUGAUAACACAGACCCUGCAGUUUCCCUUCCUCCUCACUUCAGCUCCGUCUCUCCUCUCUAAAGAGUUGACCUUGUGUAUCGGUGUCCGUCAGCAGUUUAACGGACCGGCGGAUAUUCUAAUCAGGACUCGCAAAUACUAACCGAGCUGGUGGCCCGUGAAACCAGAACUCUGAUCAUUAACACUGUUGACAUCUAAAAAGGACGAAAACAGCGGGUUAAUGUCCCUCGACACCCUCGGUGCGGAGUACUACGGGUACUGGCUGGAAACUAUGUUUAGCAAUGCUGCUGGAAAAAGUUGAUAAUAAACCCCUGGUCUUUCUCAGUGAAUGGUUUGCAAAUACGUCGGUCUUUGUGUAGAUUUUACCUAAACGCACACCUACCGUGGACGGGCUAUAGCGCAUGUGUUUGUGCUCUGUCGUUCUACGUUUAUGGACGACGGACGAGCAUGCGAGUUAAGAACAAAGCUGCAGACGAGUCUUUGCCAUUAGCCUAUAGCUAGCUUAGCCAAAGACGGGAAACUGCUAACUUGGCUAGCUCUCAAAGCCACAAGUUGGGUAUUUAUGAAUCCGUUUGCACACAAAUCAAACUGCGUGUACAACGUGUGAAUUGAUGUUUCAGAUAUGUUGGCUCAAGGAAACAAUUUCCCUCCUUCUACUCUUCAAGCUAAGCUAAGUCAAACACAUCCACUCUAGUUCACAAUUGCAUGCACAGAAAUUAGUGUUUCCCCUGAAAUAAUGUCCAAUUCUCCCUUUAACUAGCUGUGGUUAAAGUAUUCAUUGGCAAGAAUCUGGAAAUUUAGGUUUUAUGAUUGAGGAAUUAUGAUUUGAUCUAGCAAUAAAUUGCAAUAGUGAAUUUGAUUCAGUAACACAAAACACGAUCAUGCAAUACUCAAAAUAUCAAUAUUUUCUUACACUCACUGCUGACGACAUUUACAGACUAGAAAAGCUGCUGGUUCUGAGACGGACUUUAAAAAGUCAGACAGGAUUUAACAAGACAUUUUGGAGGUUUCACUUUGCUCCAUACGGCUCUAAAUUUAUUGCCUUCUUUUUUUCUCCAUUUUCUGCUCUCUGUAACAAUAUUUAUUCAUUCAUAAGAUUUUGUGGAGUGAUUUAUCACAUUAAAAUAGAAUAGUCUUCCUCCCUUUUCUCUUCCCCUCGCUCCCAUUUUGAGUUUGACUCCACACCGCUGCCCUGUAAUGUAUUUGCGGGAUGGGCCGAAAAUACAGGAAGUCGCUCCCUGAGGUCUCCAUGGCAACCCUGAGGUCAGCCGUGCGAGGCCGGAGACCCCUCCUCGAAAACAAAGAGCUCAGAGGCCUGGAUCAACACAAACAACCCUGACACACACACACACACACACACACACACAUUUCGACUGACUAAAGGACGUCCUGUGAAACCUCUGCAGCAGCAGCAGCACAUGAGCAGUUUUCAGUGUGAAAACUACUGUAAAUCCCGUGGGAAGAUGUAAAUGAUGCCUGCUGCAUAGUCUAGUUUAGAAGGACCACAUCAACUUUUUCUGAUUAACAAUCCUUUGAGUGGUCUUCUGCUACGUGCUGAAACUUUACACGAGCACGGGAUGAGUAAAUUAUCUUUACAUUUUAAAACAAAGAGACAAGAAUAGAUGAUAACUUUAGGCUGGGUUGUAAAAGGAACUGAAAUUUAACGCAGAAGCUAUGCACUAUGUAAAUAGUUUUCACAAGGAGUGAUCGUGGUGUGCAGUAUGAAAAUGUUCCUCGAUAUGCACAAGCGAAUCUUUCUACAACCACCGCACAGAGAGCCGAAGAUGGACAAGCAACAAAAAGGCCACAACUUGAGUCCCCCUCGCCUGCCCCGGACCACCCU